rnacentral:tRNA from 1 species
GGGAAUGUGGCUCAAGUGGUAGAGCUCUUGCCUUGCAUGCAUGAGGCCCUGGGUUCGAUUCCUCAGCACCA